rnacentral:lncRNA from 1 species
GCCCAGAUUCCAUUCGAAGCCUAAUCGGAUGGCUGUGGUGGUUUCCGACCCUAAUAAGGAUUUGAUUUAACAUUUUUUGGGCUAAUCUAGAUGGUCCAUUGAUGAUCCGAUGGCCAAAAAUUAAUUCUAAAGAUACUAUACGAUUUUUAAGAGUUAUAGGACUCUUUUUGUAACCAAAAAAAGGUAAAAAAUUCACAUAUAAAUAGGAGGUCCAGGAAUAUGUGUAGGAAAGAGAAAAAAUUAGAAAAAAAAUAAAAAAAAUAAAAAAAAAUUAAGAAGCUUUAGGGAUCAAAUAUUGGGAGAAUAUGGAGCUA